rnacentral:lncRNA from 1 species
GCACGUUCAGGAAAGACAAUGGAACAAGUUACCCUAUGAUCAGAGUUAAGAGAGGGAAGGAUCACAUCAUCCAUAUUGUUAGAUAGAAACAGACUGAGAAUCUCAUCCGAAAUUGAGCUAUCAUUGCUCUCCUCUGUAUAAGAUUGUUGAUCAAAACUAUAAUUGGUGAAUGAGAGCAAUUUCAACCUUGGGUACAUCAGUAGCUUUGCAAUACUUUCUUUUUCCAAAAAAUCUUCUACAUAUAAUUCCUCUAUAUUCCGAGGAAGUAGGGGAAGUUCCUGACAGUGGGCUAUAUUGAGAUAUCGAAGGUGAGAAAGUCGGCUGAAGACAUCAGGCAAAUAAAUAAACUUAUUUCUGCUCAGGUUCAGUUCCAUUAAUAAAGAAGUCAAGUUCUUAAGAGCAGAAGCUUGGUCAUCACAUAAAUUACAUCCACUGAGAUCUAAGCUUUUCAGUUGCCUCAAAGCAUGAAACAGACUGGGUAAUAUCAAACUGCGAGCAUAUUGAUGCUUAACCUUCCGCCCAUUUCUUAAUGAUAGGAUCUUGAGUUUGCUUAAGUUUCCAACAGAAUCUGGUAGUUGCAAAAUGGCAGUGUUGCCAGCAUAGAGCUCCUCCAACUGGUUUAGAUCACCUAGAUUUUCAGGAAAAAUUGCAAGUCUUGAGCAGCCUUUCAGAAUCAAAAUUUUCAGUUUUCUCAUCUCACAGACACUGGCUGGGAGUCUUUCAAGGUUUUCACAUGAUUGCAAAUCAAGCAAGCUGAUACCACUGAGCUGUCCUAUUGAUGAGGGCAAUUCACAAAUUGCAGUACGUGCCAGAAGGACCUCUGAUAGCGAUUCCAUAUUCCCUCGAAUUUCUGGAAAUUUUUCUAAUUUCUGACAACCUGAGAGGUUGAAGCUUUCAAGAGAUUCCAUUUGAAUACUACUUGGUAAAGACUUGAGAUUUUUGCAUUUUUCCAGAUUCAAGAAGAUAAGCUUUUUGAGAUUUCCAAUGGAUGGAUGAAUUUCAACCAAACUUUCACAACUUUUUAGUAUAAUCUUCUGGAGGUUUGGACUCUCACAAAAAUUGGGUGUUCGGAGUAAACUUCUUGAAAAACUUAGAUUGAGGAUUGUCAACUUGUCAAAUGCCUGUUCAUAAAAAGAGAACAAAUAAAAAUAUCAGCUUUAAUUGUCAUUUCUUUUCUUUAAAUUAAACAUGAUUCUUUUCUGAAGGAGAUGAACAAUACCUUUGGAUCCUUGAAGAAGAGAACUACAAGUCAUAAUGAGCCCAACUAGAUUUCCCGGAUCAAAAUCUUCUGGUAAAGAUACAAAACUGUAGUAUGACCAAUCAAGCCAUUUCAAGUUACUGGGGAGAUACUCAAUAGGGUCACAAAUAGGGUCAUGAUGUCAGGCCUCCUCCCCUUUGACAAUGAGUAACCUUAGACAAGGCAUGUUUUUUAAUUCUUUGCUCCACUUGCAUAUAUGACGGUCUGAGCCAAUUGGUGCCAUUAUGCCUUUAAUUGACUCUGUCCUCUGGAAAAGAAAUUAAAGUAACUUUGUUAAACAGAACAUACUUCCAAACAUAGAACGUAUUCUCCCUAAUUUACAAAUCUUAAUCUAUAUCAUUUUUUGUUGGAAUUAAUAGGGUGUACUGAGGUUAGGAUAAUACCGGUAGUAUAAGAUUUAUAUGGAUUUGCAUUAUGAGUUCAUCCAAAUUAAUUGAGAACUUCAAAUACUCUUACUUCCACUUCCUUUUCAUUAUGACCCGAUAAGAAAUCCAUUCUCCAAUCAAUAUAAGGUUCGAUUUGACAUGUGUUACAUUAGGAGGUCUUCCCUAUCAACCAAUUAAGCUAAAAUUUGAACAUAUCAAAGAAUCAAAAUUUUGCAUUACUUUUUAAAAAUAAAGCUCUUAUAAAUCUAGAAGUUUGUAUAUCAUGUUCCUAAAUAAUAGUUCCUCACAAAUUUAUUUUGUAAGGGUCGUUUCGUUGGGAACAAGUUAUCCCAAGACUAAUUAUCCUGGGAUAACUUAUCCCACCAUGUAUAUGAAAUAACUUAUUCCAUCACUAUGAUAUAAAUGGUGGAUAAGUUGUCCCAAACAUGGCAACCAAACAAGAUAGCAAAAUUUUAUCCCUGGACUAUUUAUUUCUAUCCCUCACACCAAACGACCCCUAAGAGGGAGAUAAUUUUGCAACAAACUAUUUAACAAGACAAAGAUUACUAUAAGCUAGUACCAAAUUGUCAUCAAUAAAAGUACUUUCAAGGUAGGAAAGAAAAAGAAGUAACAACAAUAAAAAAAAAAACAAAUUAUUCAGAAUGUAAAUAUAUAAUAAAAUCACUACAUGAGGAAGAGAACGAGAAAAAGAACACGGCAUGUUCUGCGCUAGCCCUCAUGUGGGUACUUUGGAGGGAAAAGACUAGGAUAACUUUUGAAGAGAAAGAACAUGAGUUUGUACGGUUUAGGGCUUGCCUUUAUUUUUGCUUGAUUUUAAGAGCACCCACAAAGUUCUUGUAGGAAUAGAUGACUGGGUGUCAUGGCAGACAACCAUUUUAUUGCAGCCCAUUUUAAUUUGCCCGGUGAAUUGAUGCGGUAAAUCUAAGGUGAGGUGUCAUGGUGUAUGUUAUUUAGAGAUGACUUAGUUCUGAUUGACAAGACUGUCAGAGGAGUUAAUGCUAAGUUGGAGGUCUGGAGACAAACCUUGGAGUAUAAAAGGGUUUAGGUUGAUUAGGACCAACAUAAAUACUUAAGCGCAUGUUCAGUAACGUAACACACGACGCAGGCGUGAACGUGAGGCUUUAUACCCAGGCUAUCCAAAAGAAAGGAAGUUUCAUUUAUGUUGAACUUAUUAUCCAAAGUAAGGGGAAGAUUGAUGAUGAUCUCAGACAUCAUAUUGGUGCAGGGUGGAUGACAUGGAGGCUAACUUCCAAAGUCUUGUAUGAUAAGAAAGUGCCACCAAAACUUAAAGACAAGUUCUGCAGAGUGGUGGUUAGCCAAACUAUGUUGUACGGAGUGGAAUGUUUGUCGGUCAGUAACUCUCAUAUUCAAAAGAUAAAAGUUGUGAAAAUGAAGAUGUUGAGAUGAAUGUUUGGGGAUACUAGGAGAGAUAAGAUUAGAAAUAAUGUAUGCGGGACAAGGUAGGAGUGGCCUUGAUCGAGGACAAGAUGCGGGAAGCGAGGUUGUGAUGGUUUGGGCAUGUGAAGAAGAGAUGAAUAAAUGCUCUAGUGUAGAAGGGGGAGAGGUUGGUUAUGAAUGGUUUCAGGAGAGGUAGAGAUAGGCUGAGGAAGUAUUGGGGAGAGGUGAUUAGACAGAAUAUGACACAACUUUUGGGUAGAAGGUAAGUUAGGUAGUUGAGUGUUAUCUCACUUAUCCUUCCGUACUAAUAGUCGUAGUACUAUUGUAACAACUAAAAAUUUGGUGAGUUUGGGUUGAAAGGUGUAAGGUAGGUUAACUGGCAGGUCCACAGACCUUAGCUCAACCGUGAACCUUUCAGAAUGACCUAAGCGGCCCGUGGAAGGGUUGACGACCCGUUUAGGGGAAAGAGGGUGCCCGUUUAGGCAACCCAAAAUUUAGCCCCCAACUUCAUGACCCCUUCACGGACUGUGAAGGGCUAAACAGUUCGUGAAGGCUCCCUUACAGGUCUCUCAUCAGCUUUUUGAGUUGGGGCUAUUUUAGUCAUUUCCUAUGCGUCUAGUACCAAAGCUAUGUCGUUUUAACCCCUAUUAUAAGCCCUAUAUAAGUAUUUUAAUUCCUAAAACUACCCAUUCUAAAAUCAUUCUCCUAAAUCCCAUAUUCCCUCUAAGUUCUUCACCAAAGUUCUCUCUACAGCUAAGAAAGAAGUAAGGGUUUCACUUCAAGAUCUCUGAUUCAUCAUAGCACUUGGGUCUUAGUUACUACAGUAUGUUAGUAUUCACCUAUGAAGUCCUUUCCUUUAUAGGAUUCCCAAGAUCUUCCAAUUUUACAAGUUCAAUUCUCAAUUCAAAGUUAGGGUUUUAUUCAAUCUUCAUGUGUUCUACUCAAUUAUAAUUCAAUUAAUUUUUUUUCUAUCUUUUAUGCAUGAAUUGAGGUAUUUACAUGAUUUUGAGUUGAAUUCAUAUGAACCCAUGCAUGAUCCAUGAUCUUAGACUAUGAACACAUAAUGAAGCUUAUAAACUAUGAAUUUAUAAAGAUAUGCAUGCUUUUAUGAAAUUGAUGUAAAUGAUUUGAGGAAGCUUUGAGAUGAAAGUAUCAAUGUUGUUGUGAAAGGCUUUCUCACAUACUACUAUGAUCAUGAUUGUGAAAGGUUUUCUCACAUAAGGAUUCAUAAGGUUGAAAGGUUUUCUCACCUAAAUUGAAUCAAGUUUUAGGAGUUAUUUAGUUUGGAUUGGUUACUUAAUUGUGUCUUUCCAAAUGAAUAUGAUUAAUGACUAUUCCGUGAGAUUUUAUUUAGCACCGAGAGGAUAUUGAGAUGGAGGCUCUCCCGUUAGUAGAGGUCGGGUCUCUAGUAGCAAUCUUCGUGUCCCUAACUAUGUGCCCUGUAGGAUGUCUUAGCUAGUGGAUUCACGUAAGCUAGAAGUUUAAGGUUGUUAUCUUGGCAAGCAAUGACAUCUCUUUACGGUGUGGGAUAGACACCGGAUUCCAUGUUGUAGCUCACAUGGUCUAUGUUGGUUAAUGGUUAACAUCCCACAAUAAUGAACUAGGUUACUUUCAAAGUAUCUCACAAAGUGUUAAGCUUGCAUUGACCAUAAUUUACGACUUGUGUUUUCUAACCCUUUUAUCUUAUGAUUUAGCUUGGUCAUUGCAUGUCAUAUUAAAGUCCUUUUUAGUCAUGAUUUCAUAUCUUUUAUGCAUUGCUAUCAUACUUAGUACAUUCCAUGUACUAAUGCAUACUUGUGCCUACAUUGUUUCACUAAUGUAGGGUCCGACGCUCCUCCUCCGCAUACUUGUGGCUAGUUGAUCUCAUUGACAAUUCCAAGAUCAAGAGUUGGUGAGUCCUCAUAUUCUAAGGACCAUGGCACUUUUAUCGCUUUCUUUACCUCCUAAGGUAGAGGGUAAGGUCUACUUAUUCUAGAAGUUUAUACAUCAGGUUCUUAAAUGAUAUAUAUUAAUAUAAACCAAUACCAAAUCGUCAUCAGUAAAAGUACUUUCAAGGAAGGAAAGCAAAAAAGAAACAACACUAAAAAAUACACGACAAAUUAUUCCAUAUGUAAAUAAAUAUAUAAUAAAAACAUUACACGAGGACAGGGAAGAGAAGAAGAACAUGGUAUGUUUUGUGCUAGCCCUCAUAUGGGUACUUUGGAGGGAAAGGACCAGGAGAACUUUGAAGAGAGAGAACGUGAAUUUGUAUGGUUUAGGUCUUGCCUUUAUUUUUUCUUGAUUUUAAGAGGAACCACAAAGUUCUUGUAGGAAUAGAUGAUUUGGUGUCAUUGGUAGAGAACCAUUUUUGUGCAACCCAUAUUUAUUUGCCUGGUGAUAGAUGAAUUGGCGUGGUAAAUUCAAAGGGAGGUGUCAUGGUGUAUGUUAUUUACAAAUGACAUAGUUCUGAUUGACAAGAUUAGCGACGGAGUUAAAGCUAAGUUGGAGAUUUGGAGACAAACCUUGGAGUCUAAAUGGAUUCAGAUUGGGUAGGACCAAGAUAAAAUACUUAAGUACAAGUUCUACGUAACACACGAGGUUGGCGUGGAAGCAAGGCUUGAUACCCAAGCCAUCCAAAAUAAAGGAUUCAAUUAUCUUGAGUCUAUUAUCCUAAGUAAUGAGGAGAUAAACGAUGAUCUCACACAUCAUAUUAUUGCAGGGUGGAUGAAAUGGAGGCUUACUUCUAGAGUCUUGUAUGAUAAGAAAGUGCCAUGAAAACUUAAAGGCAAUUUCUAUAGAAUAGUAGUUAGGCCAACUAUGUUGUAUGGAGCGGAAUUUUGGCUAAUCAAGAACUAUCACAUUCAGAAGAUGAAAGUUGUGAAAAUGAGGAUGUUAAAAUGGAUAUGUGGGCAUACUAGGAGAGAUAUAAUUAGAAAUAAUGAUAUGUGGGACAAGGUAGGAGUGGCCUCGAUAGAGGAUAAAAUGCGGAAAGCGAGGUUGUGAUGGUUUGGGCAUGUGAAGUAGAGAUGCUCUACUGCAAAAUUGGGAGAGGUUGGCUAUGGAUGGUUUCAAAAGAGGUAGAGGUAUGCCGAGAAGUAGUGAGGAAAGGUGAUUAGAUAUGCCACGACACAGCUUCAGUGGGUAGAAUGUUAGUUGGUAGCGGAGUAUUAUCUCGUUUAUCCUUCCAUACUAGUAGUCGUAGUACUACUCUUGUUGUUUCUUGUUAUUUGAUCUUUGUUACUAUUAAAUGUUUCGUGUACUUAAAUUAUCAUAUUAUUUUAUUUUAGCUUUUUUUAAUGUUUUGUCAUGAUUUCUUCGCUUUCGCUUUUUUCCCACUUGUUUGAGAUGCUUUUACUUGAGUCGAGGGUCUAUUGGAAACAACCUCUCUACCUCCCAAGGUGGGCUAAGGUCUACUUACACUCUACAUUCCCUGGAUCCCACUUAUGAGAUUACACUAGUAUGUUGUUGUAAAAGUCCAUCAUAAGAACAAAUAAGACCUAUGAAUAAAUAGAAGUUAGCACACUCAUUUUCUAUUCGACAUUUAAUGUUCAGGAUGAUAAAAUCUAAAAUUGCAAAAUCAUAAUUAGAACUAGAACUCUAGUAAAUGGAUAUUGAGUAAGCUACUCUAGUUGAAAUCUGUAGAUGGCACAUCCAGUAAUCUAUGAAACUAAUCUUCUUAAUUGGUGGCUACAUGCAUCCUUGUGUGCAAAGUAAUAUGGAAGAACAAAUUCGAACAUACAAGGCUAUAUUUGUUGCCAAGAUAUUACAUAAUUUAAUAAAGAUACUAUCCCAUGAGAUGCAGUUUAGAUUGAGAAAAAUGUGCUAGAUCUGAAGUUUGUUCAAAUUCAGAUAUCUAAUCCCAUUGAAGCCACAUAAUGAAAGAGAGAGAACGGAAAUCUCCAGCAUAGAGGAAUUCUUACCUGAUCUGCAGAAAAAAACAGUUUUUAUAUCUUGUUCAUGCCAUAGUCUACUGUGAUUCCAUGGCUUGUCAUGGUCCACAUUGCGUGCCACUCGCUGACCCAUUUGUUCUAUCAAAUCAUGCAUAUCAACCAUUCCUUCUGAAAUAUAUAAAAGAGACUUUUGGAUGAGGACAUCAAUUCCAAUCUCUGAUUGGAAGCCAAAACUGUUCAGUAUUGUUAUCACAUUAUCUUUCUUUCGUCCUCUAAAGAAACAUGCAAUAUCAAGAAAAGCAUUCUUCUCUUCAUGGUUCAAUCCAUCUAGAGUCUAGACUUAAACUGACCUAGACUUUCCAACUUAAUUCUUGAAUAUUAACAGCCUUUUAGUGAUUGUUGUCGAUGGGCGUAGACUUGAAGUUUAAAACUAAUUUUAUCUAUUAUUAGCUAAAGAUUCUAAAGCAUAAGAGAAAUAAAAAGAUUGAAGUCUUAAUCACAUCCAAGCUUAAAUUUCGAUUUUGAGGCGUCAUCAUUAACAAGAUGCAACUCCUUAAUUAUAAUUCCAAUUACCUACUACCUUUUUUUUGUUUCCCACCUAGUGCCUUGAAUCAGUUCUGGGGCCUGACUAAUAUGAAUUUGAGAGGGUAAAUCCUAUUUUGAGGGGUUAAGUGCCUCCUACCAAAGGCAACUCCAUUCUCAAGGCUUGAAUCCGAGAGCUCUGGUUUAGGAUAUAGGGGUACUUACCACCCUAUCACAACCUUUGAUGGUGCCUAAGAGAGUCUUUAGUUUUCUAAAAAAACUACUACUACAUUCAUAUUAGUUUAAUUCUUAAUUGUAAUAUUAUUCAGUAAAUUUAACAAGUAAGAGGUACUAUUACGCUUUAGAUUUUGAAGAUUUGUUACACAACUAUCUCUACUAUUAGGUUCCCCCUUGAAGGUCAGUAUCAACUACUUUAUUUCAAAUUGGUUACAACAAAAUAAUGAGAAUAUACAAUCUCAACAAUAAUGUGAUUUAAAAUGUAAAGAUUAUAUUGGUAUAAUUUCAUCUAAUUUUGAGUUCAAGUUAUCAGAUUAACUCUUAUAUCUUUUUUAAAUCUGUUAAAUGCCAUUUUCUUAUAAUUUUAAUGUAAUUAUUGAUUUGCCUUAUUAAUUCAUUAUUGCUAAGAAAAUCAUUAUUUUUGCCUAAUCUUUUCCAACAUUACUAACCUAAUACUUAGCCACAUUGAAAUUAAAUUGUUAAUCUAACUGUAUUCAAACUAUCAAACUUUAAUAAUAAUAGGUAUUUUGAGUUACCUUAAACUUGGUUUCUUGGUAAUUACCUCAAUAUCCCAGCAUAUAGAGCUAAUUUAGCCUCUCUUCCGCUUAAGUCGUGUGAAACCAACAAUUUCGUAUAUUUUUGAAAAAAAUGUUCUUUCAUCCUCAUAGAUCAUAUGAACUCCCCACUGUCUCGCAAUGCACCCAUGCAUAGAUGCCUCAAAUAGGCUAUACUGGUUAAUGUCUCCAACCUGCAGUGAAGAAUACAAUGGUAUGUAGGCGAAGCAAACACACCAGCCAUAUGUUCUAGAUGCUGUGCCCACUUUACAUUCUUUCUCAAUCACUUUAAGGUCUUUCAAAUGAUCAUUGCAUAUCAAUUUGGCAUUGAUGAAAGCAUAAUCAUACUUCCCAGAUAGCCUUGAAUUAGGACUGCAGACACCUGCUCCCAUGAGAGUCACACAGCAUAUAGCAAAUCCCUUUAACUUAUCAUUAUACCAAUUACUGGGCAGUUUGAACGAGAUCUUUUCCUCAACACCCUGAUGCAUAAACCAUGUGGGAAUUGCACGUUCAGGAAAGACAAUGGAACAAGUUACCCUAUGAUCGGAGUUAAGAGUGGGGAGGAUCACAUCAUCCAUAUUGUUUGAUAGAAACAAACUGAGAAUCUCAUCUGAAAUUGAGCUACCAUUGCUCUCCUCUGUAUAAGAUUGUUGAUCAAAACUAUAAUUGGUGAAUGAUACCAAAUUCAACCUUGGGUACAUCCGUAGCUUUUCAACACUUUCUUUUGCCAAAAAAUCCUCUACAUAUAAUUCCUCUAUAUUCUGAGGAAGUAGGGGAAGUUCCUCAAGUUCCUGACAGUGUGCUAUAUUAAGAUAUCGAAGGUGAGAAAGUCGCCUGAAGAUAGCAGGCAAAUAAAUAAACUUAUUCCUGCUCAGAUUCAGUUCCAAUAAAGAAGUUAAGUUGAUAAGAGCAGAAGCUUGUUUAUCACAUAAAUUACAUCCACUGAGAUCUAAGCUUU